UACGGGGGGGGCAAGCGUUGUUCGGAAUUACUGGGCGUAAAGGGCUCGUAGGCGGCCAACUAAGUCGGAUGUGAAAUCCCCAGGCUUAACCUGGGAACUGCAUCCGAUACUGGAUGGCUUGAAUCCGGGAGAGGGAUGCAGAAUUCCAGGUGUAGCGGUGAAAUGCGUAGAUAUCUGGAAGAAUACCGGUGGCGAAGGCGGCAUCCUGGACCGGCAUUGACGCUGAUGAGCGAAAGCUAGGGGAGCAAACGGG
rnacentral:rRNA from 1 species